UGAGCCCUCACUAUAUAAAGACAUGGCUGCUCACAAAUGCUCCACUGCGAAUUCCUCAGGAAUCUUGAAAUUGGUCGUAGAAUCUCCAUUUUACAGAUGCAACAAUAUUUUCCUCGCUUCCUGGAAAUGGCUCUGCUCUAGCCUCUCAACAUUAUCCAGGAGUAAAUGGGAGAAGAGCCUGGUAAAACACAAUGAACUGCAGCCAGGGUCACUACUGUUUUGAAGAGUAUGAUAAAAAAUCUCCCUGGCUGGGCACGGUGGCUCCCUCCU